rnacentral:sRNA from 1 species
AAGGCACGUGGCUGAGCUGUUCCAUGUGUUGCAGCCUAGUCUCCCCUAGGAUGGCCCUGCACCUGGGGACAGGGCACCAGAGGGUGGGGCCUGCACACAGGAAUGAGGCUUCUGGGGCCACACACGAGGUUGAGGCACUUGGGAGCCCAGCUGCACAGGUGGAUGGGGUACCUGGGGGUGGGGCUCGUAUUUCAGGAUGGGAUCCCCUUUGAGGCGGGGCCUGCCCUCUGGAGGACACAUGCUCCCCUGCCCCACCCUUGCUCAGCACAUAGGACAGCAUUGGCUGGGGUGGGGAUCCAAGGCCCCUUUGGCCUCCCAGAUCUGCCCACCCCACACAGGAAGCUCCACUGCACGCGGAACUACAUCCACAUGCACCUCUUCAUAUCCUUCAUCCUGAGGGCUGCUGCUGUCUUCAUCAAAGACUUGGCCCUCUUCGACAGCGGGGAGUCGGACCAGUGCUCCGAGGGCUCGGUGGGCUGUAAGGCAGCCAUGGUCUUUUUCCAAUAUUGUGUCAUGGCCAACUUCUUCUGGCUGCUGGUGGAGGGCCUCUACCUGUACACCCUGCUUGCCGUCUCCUUCUUCUCUGAGCG